GCCCUCUUAGCUCAGUGGUAGAGCGUUUGUCUUGUACGGAAUGUGAUUGGUCACGCGUAGUUGCAACAAAAGGUCACAGGAUCGACUCCUGUAGUGGGCA
rfam:Dacryopinax sp. DJM-731 SS1 chromosome Tnknown DACRYscaffold_11, whole genome shotgun sequence.